ACGGGAAGUUUUGCACCAUUAUCAAGAAGGUAGAAUAGCCGCAAGGCUUGAGAGGUGAGGGUGAGCAAAAAUCGUAUAAAAGGAUAGAGAAAAGGUGAAAGUAUUCAGUCGAGUAAGCAUCUCCAACGCGGCAACAGCUCCAGUGCACUAGUCGUCACCGGCUGCAUUCUUCAUCCUAUUAUCAGUUUGCAAUCAUGGUUACAAUCGAAAAAAUCUGAUGUUCACGAUUGGAGGUCACAAGAAACAUUUCGUAAAACUGGCAUGCGGUGGUGUAGAGGUUGGGUGAGAACCGGACGUUAUGCAUCAUUAUCAAAAAGUAAAAUAUGUCGUCGUACUGAUGUUGGGUGUCGUAUCGGCUCGGUCAACCACUGGUGUACUGAUGUCUUCUGGGUCUGGCGGGUGUGAAACCGCAACGCCGCACGUUACUACACCGAGGUCCCCAAGUACUACACCACCAAGUCUCCAGAUUAUUACACCACAACUUCGCUGCCCCGAGCUACUACACCGAAUUCCCGAAAAAUUAUUCUUCCCCGAGCUACGCCAUGAAAAGUGUCGAGUACUACACCGAGCCCCCUAAUUACUACACUACUACAUAUCAUGGGAGAGAAAAGGCGAUAGAUAUCAGUCGAAUGGUUAUCACCGAUAUGGCAACAUCUGCAGUGCAGUAGUUGUAGUCGUCACCAACUGCAUUCUUCGUCGUACCACCAGUUUUUGCAAUCAUGGUAAAUUAUUUUGUCGUGCUGCUGUUGGGUGUCGUUUCGUUGAUGGCCGAGUCGACCACUGGUGUACUAAUGUCUCCUGGGUAUGGUGGAUACCAAAGCACGACGCCGCCGUCUUACUAUGCAACAACAACGUAGACACGACCAGUUACUACACCGAGGCCCCCAAGUACUACACCACCAAGGAACCAGAGUGUUACACAACUACGAAUGCCGCGCCAGCUUAUUACACCGAGGCCCCCAAUAUUACUCUGCUCCCAGCUACUACACCGAGGUUCCAGCUUAUUACACCACUAAAACAGUCGAAUACUACACAGAAGUAAUCAUUAUGUAAACUAUGGCGUGCUGCUGUUGGGUGUUGGAUCGUUGAUGGCUGGAUUGACCACUGGUGUGCCGAUGUCUCCUGGGUAUGGCGGGUAUCAAACCACAACGGCGGCGUCUGACUGCACGACAACAACAUAUACGCAACGAGCAGUUACUGCACUGAGGCCUCCAAGUACUACACCACCAAUGCUCCAGAUUAUUAUACAAAACCAUAAGCUGUCCCGAGUUACUACACAGAAGCCCCGAAGUAUGAUUCUUCUCCGAGCUCCAUCACCAAGUCACCGGAGUAUUACACAACUACGUAUGCAGCGCCAGCUUACUACACCGAGGCUCCCAAGUACUACUCUGCUCUCAGCUACUGCACCGAUGCUCGAGCUUAUCACACCACCAACGGUCGAAAAGUACACAUAAGUGCCAAAGUACUACUCUUCCCCGAGCUACACAACCCUAACUGAAGCGGCCAAGUAUUACGUAGCUUCAACUUUCUACACAACUGCUGCCCCUUCGCAUUACGCUGAACCGAAAUACUACACUGAAGCCCCAGUUUACUACACCACAACCUACGCUACACUCUGCUACUACACCGAAACUCUGAAGUAGUACACUACGAAGGGACCUGAGUGCAAUGCCACUACAUACGAAGCUGUUACUACCUACUACACCGAAGCUUCGAAGUGUUACUCUGCCUCCAGUUACUUACACCGCUAAGGUAUCUCAAUGUUACAUCACGACCUACGCUUCUCCAACUUACUACAGGGAGGUUCCAAAAUAUUAGAACCGAAUUUGUUUUAUUUAUUUUGGUAUAGAUCUUCUGUCACAUAAUAGUUACUUGUUACUGGUAAUUGUUGUUGAUCUUAAGUGAGAAAAUACACUUUGUACAGCGGGUAA
rnacentral:lncRNA from 1 species